AUUGAACGCUGGCGGCAUGCUUUACACAUGCAAGUCGAACGGUAGAGGGGGCAACCCCUUGAGAGUGGCGAACGGGUGAGUAAUGCAUCGGAACGUGCCCAGGCGUGGGGGAUAACGCAGCGAAAGCAGUGCUAAUACCGCAUACGAUCUCUGGAUGAAAGCGGGGGACCGAAAGGCCUCGCGCGAGUGGCAGGGCAGAUGUCAGAUUAGGUAGUUGGUGGGGUAAAGGCCUACCAAGCCACCGAUCUGUAGCUGGUCUGAGAGGACGACCAGCCACACUGGGACUGAGACACGGCCCAGACUCCUACGGGAGGCAGCAGUGGGGAAUGUUGGACAAUGGGCGCAAGCCUGAUCCAGCAAUGCCGCGUGCAGGAAGAAGGCCUUCGGGUUGUAAACUGCUUUUGUACGGAACGAAACGGUCUGGGUUAAUACCCUGGGCUAAUGACGGUACCGUAAGAAUAAGCACCGGCUAACUACGUGCCAGCAGCCGCGGUAA
rnacentral:rRNA from 1 species